rnacentral:rRNA from 1 species
CUACGGGGGGCAGCAGUGGGGAAUAUUGCACAAUGGAGGAAACUCUGAUGCAGCAACGCCGCGUGGAGGAUGACACAUUUCGGUGUGUAAACUCCUUUUAUAUGUCAAGAAAAUGACGGUAGCAUAUGAAUAAGCACCGGCUAACUCCGUGCCAGCAGCCGCGGUAAUACGGAGGGUGCAAGCGUUACUCGGAAUCACUGGGCGUAAAGGACGCGUAGGCGGGUUGGAAAGUCAGGUGUGAAAUCCUACAGCUUAACUGUAGAACUGCACUUGAAACUUCUAAUCUAGAGUAUGGGAGGGGGAGAUGGAAUUAGUGGUGUAGGGGUAAAAUCCGUAGAUAUCACUAGGAAUACCUAAAGCGAAGGCGAUCUGCUGGAACAUUACUGACGCUAAGGCGUGAAAGCGUGGGGAGCAAACAGGAUUAGAUACCCUUGUAGUC